CCGGGGCUCGCGACCGGGGCGGGGCGGGGAAGCGUCCCGUCCGCCUGUCAGUCCUGGUCAGGUUACCGCACGGGGAGUUGCCUCUUCCCGCCUUUGUCCCAGCAUCCGAAAGCGUGCCGGCCCUGGGCUGCCUGCCCGGUCCCACCCUCGGCAUAUGCCGACGUCUGCUGUCAGAAACCCCGCACAGGGGCGCACGGUUCGGGUGGGUUCCCCAGGCAUGGACAUCUCUCCUGCCCCUGCACUUGAACCCCGCGUGCUCUGCCAAGCGCAUGUCCCCAGGCUCCGUAAGACUAGUCGAUGCCGGUGACCCGCUAGGAAGACGUGGUCAACCCUCUCCCAAUCAGAACUUUGUACAUGCCGUUUGCUUAUGGUUCCCUUGGACUCAGGUUGCCCAAAGUUAGGACCAAUUCAGGAUGAGAUAAAGACAUCCACCUGCUGCCAGUAGCUUGGAAACUGGACCCUGGAAACUUUGGAAAGGCCUUGCAUGUGGCCUUUGCUGCUGAAGAAAGUCAUCACAUGGGAAAGGGAUCAUGCAGAACAGACUCCGUGUCUCCCUUGAUAAACACAGAGGAAAAAAACAGUGGGAUCUUGGGCAGGCAGAAGACGUCAUUCCAAAGCAUAAUUACAGCCAUUUGUG
rnacentral:lncRNA from 1 species